CCAAUGUACACUGCAACUCUCCUUCCUUCCCUCUCUCUCUCUCUCUCUCUCUCUCUCUCUCUCAGCCUCAGGGUGCGCAUUUCGCACCCCCUCCAUCUUCCUCCACCGACUCGUUGCGCAUUGCGCGCCGCCCCAUCCCUAUAAAUAGCCAUCCUCAUGGCAUCGCCACCAUCUCUCAAAACCAUACUAACAGAGAAAAAAUACCCAUUCAUCUUCGCUCUCUUCGUCCUCCUCCUCUGCGUCAGCUUCUUUCUCCUCACCAGCAGCCGUUUCUCCUUCCUCUCUCCCUCCGAUCUCGAAGAUUCCCAGAAAUUCUCCCAAAUCCUAGAAUCCUCACCAUUAUCAUCUCCCAUUGCAACCCCUAGCAGCACCACCAAUCAAGAUCAGGAACCUCCGAUCUCGGCCGUCACCGUCAGUGGUGUUGGAGAUGUCGAUUCCAAGGUCCCUGAUCAGACGGAACUGCUUGACUGGAAGAUCUGUAACUUCACGGCGGCCAUUGAUUACAUACCUUGCCUGGACAAUUGGAGGGCGAUCAAGGAGCUACAGUCGCGGCGUCACAUGGAGCACCGUGAACGGCAUUGCCCGACCCCGACCCGGAGGUGCCUGGUUCCGCUCCCGAAGGGGUAUAAGUUUCCAGUUGCGUGGCCGAGGAGCAGGGACAUGAUUUGGUUUGACAAUGUCCCUCACUCUAAGCUUGUUGAAUACAAGAAGGAUCAAAACUGGGUGCGGAGUUCUGGUGACUUUCUUGUUUUUCCUGGAGGUGGAACUCAAUUUAAGCAAGGAGUAACAAGCUACAUCCAGUUUAUAGAGAAGAUUUUGCCGAGUAUUCAAUGGGGGAAGCGGACUAGAGUUAUUCUUGAUGUUGGUUGUGGUGUAGCUAGCUUUGGUGGCAACUUGCUGGAUAAAGGCGUACUUACAAUGUCACUUGCUCCAAAGGAUGAACAUGAAGCUCAGAUACAGUUUGCUCUUGAGCGAGGGAUUCCUGCUAUUCUCUCCGUUAUUGGAACACAGAGGCUCACUUUCCCUGAUAAUGUGUAUGAUGUAGUGCACUGUGCACGAUGUCGGGUUCAUUGGGAUGCAGAUGGUGGAAAGCCAUUGUUGGAGCUUAACAGGAUUCUUAGGCCUGGAGGAUUUUUCGUAUGGUCUGCAACACCAGUUUAUCGUGAUGAUGAGAGAGACCAGAGUGUUUGGAAUGCUAUGGUAGCCUUGACAGAAUCUAUUUGUUGGAAGAUGGUGGUGAAGACUGUAGAUUCAGUUGGAAUUGGAAUUGUAAUGUAUCAGAAGCCUGUCUCAAAUGCUUGCUAUGAAGGGCGAAAAGUAAAUGCGCCUCCUUUAUGUGAUCAAAAGGAUUCACGCAAAACGUCAUGGUAUGUACCCCUUGAUGGAUGUCUUCCCAAAAUUCCAGUUGCUUAUUCCGGAACUGGAAACAACUGGCCCAAGCCCUGGCCCAAAAGGCUUAGUAGUAAACCUUCAAGCCUAUCAGCGGAUCCAAGCAGUGAGCAUGCUGAAGAAAACUUUUAUGAAGACACGAAGAACUGGGCAACACUUGUAUCGAACACUUACUUUCAUGACCUUGCUAUCAACUGGUCUAGCGUUCGGAAUGUAAUGGAUAUGAAUGCUGUUUAUGGAGGAUUUGCUGCAGCACUUGUUAGCCAACCUCUUUGGGUCAUGAACACUGUACCCGCUGACGGGCCAGAUACUCUACCCAUUAUUUUUGAUAGAGGAUUGAUUGGUGUUUAUCAUGAUUGGUGCGAGUCUUUUAACACGUACCCUCGAACUUACGAUCUCCUCCACUCCAGUUAUCUCUUUGGGAAUCUUACACAGAGGUGCGACAUUAUAGAUGUAGUCGUUGAAAUGGAUCGGAUUUUGAGACCUGGUGGUUGGGUUUUGGUCCAAGACACCAUGGCAACGAUUGAAAGGCUACAUCCCAUCAUGCACUCACUGCACUGGGAUGCCACUAUUCAUCAGCAGCAGUUUCUUGUCUCUAGAAAAGGUUUCUGGCGUCCUGCUGGUGGAGGAUCUCAAACUUGAAGAUAUGCCUUGAUGUGGUUAUGAUGGAAGAUAGAAGAUCCAAUUGUAUCCCAUUUCCUUAUAUUAUUAUUUCAUAUUUUUCUACAUUUUUAUAAAACAAUCAUAAAAGCUCAUGAUCUUGGUGUUUACCAUGUAUGAUCUAUGAUCUCAGCUCGCAUACAAUUCUUAGGAUCUGAUAUGACUUUUGAAAUAGUCCGAAGCUAACUGCCAUACAUGUGCAACCAAACACACCCCAAACAACAACAUAUAAUUUAUUGUUCUAUGUGUUGAUGUUUCAGAUAUGCCUUGAUGUGGUUAUGAUGGAAGAUAGAAGAUCCAAUUGUAUCCCAUUUCCUUAUAUUAUUAUUUCAUAUUUUUCUACAUUUUUAUAAAACAAUCAUAAAAGCUCAUGAUCUUGGUGUUUACCAUGUAUGAUCUAUGAUCUCAGCUCGCAUACAAUUCUUAGGAUCUGAUAUGACUUUUGAAAUAGUCCGAAGCUAACUGCCAUACAUGUGCAACCAAACACACCCCAAACAACAACAUAUAAUUUAUUGUUCUAUGUGUUGAUGUUUCAGAUAUGCCUUGAUGUGGUUAUGAUGGAAGAUAGAAGAUCCAAUUGUAUCCCAUUUCCUUAUAUUAUUAUUUCAUUUUUUUCUACAUUUUUAUAAAACAAUCAUAAAAGCUCAUGAUCUUGGUGUUUACCAUGUAUGAUCUAUGAUCUCAGCUCGCAUACAAUUCUUAGGAUCUGAUAUGACUUUUGAAAUAGUCCGAAGCUAACUGCCAUACAUGUGCAGCUAACUGCCAUACAUGUGCAACCAAACACACCCCAAACAACAACAUAUAAUUCAUUGUUCUAUGUGUUGAUGUUUCAGAUAUGCCUUGAUGUGGUUAUGAUGGAAGAUAGAAGAUCCAAUUGUAUCCCAUUUCCUUAUAUUAUUAUUUCAUAUUUUUCUACAUUUUUAUAAAACAAUCAUAAAAGCUCAUGAUCUUGGUGUUUACCAUGUAUGAUCUAUGAUCUCAGCUCGCAUACAAUUCUUAGGAUCUGAUAUGACUUUUGAAAUAGUCCGAAGCUAACUGCCAUACAUGUGCAGUAAACUCCAUAUCCUUUAUUUUAUUUUUUUAAUCUCUUGGUCUUAUUUUUACAGUAUUGGUAGCUGUCACAAGUAAGAGGUAUUACUGUACAAUGCUCAGGCUGAGGGUUUCUACGUCAUGCUUGACUUUUCAUUUUGUACAAUUGAUGGGUCAAUGGUUCAAUGAUCUGAACCAUUUAACCCACUGUGGAUGGACCACGUGUCGAAGCACAGGUGGGAACAUCCUAAUCCUUCAAUUGGUGGCUGGAAAACGGACAGUAAAGAUAUAGAAUAGAGCCACAGUCCACAUUCAAAGUAGAAAUGGCCAAUGAUUUGAUGGCAUCUCUCAAUCUGGAUGGUUUUGUUUCAUGACCUAUCCAUGUUGGGGCCAUCAUAUCAAUGUCCUGGAUUAGUGAACCCGGUGUGCCAAUUGCACAAGCCAAGAACCCAAAACUCUCCAUCUCAUCAUUGUAUACUAUUAUGGCAAGUAAAUUCAGGCUGACUGUUUUGGAAGAGUUCCAUGCAGGACCAAAACACAUGGUGCUACGUUGUCCUCUGAACAUAGGUUACCUCACAUGCAUGAUCAAGAUCCUUUUGGACCCUGCGCAUGCUUGAUUGGUCAUGUGGGGUAGCAAAAGGACAUCAUGCAUUGUUGGUACAUUGUCAGCCCGCACAUGUGAUGGGUAUUCGUGUUUGAUUCUGUUUCCUGCCCAUUACAAUGUUUUUACCAUGAUUAUAUAUGUGGCCCAGUGUAUCAAAUCACCUGCAACUAAGAUGGGAUAUUGGACCCCAAAUCAGGGAGAAGUCGGCAAUCUAUAAGGUUGCUUUCUCUAAACUAUCAUUAGCCAUUUUGGUGGGCCAUUGAAAGAAGAUAAAAAACACCUACGUUUGAUGAUUGAUGUCUACUGAUUUGUCAUCGUGCAUGUGACACACUUGAUAACACUACUGAAAGGAAAUGUGAAGGACAAUGAUCCGACCAAAGUAAAAGAGAACGACAAUGACAUUUGGAAGAGAGUGUGACGAGCAUGAGAGAUGGUAUUUUUUUUUUUUAAUAGCGUUUUGGAUUUUACACUCCUUUUUAGGUUGGGAUUCUAUUUGGAUAAAUUAUGGUUGGUUAAGUUGUCCUUAUUCUUUUUGGUAUCCUUCAAUGUGCUUAUUAUUAUUAUUAUUAUUAUUUAUGUUACCAGCAAGGGUUAAAAUCAUAUUUUACCCAUGCCCGAUACCUAAAAUGUAUCGGAUGACAUCCUUUUUUUUUUU